UCACAGCAACCUAUGUGGUAAAGCAUCUGUCUGCAAUGCAGGAGACCCGGGUUUGAUCCCUGGGUUGGGAA
rnacentral:tRNA from 1 species